rnacentral:rRNA from 1 species
UGGGGAAUCUUGGACAAUGGGCGCAAGCCUGAUCCAGCCAUGCCGCGUGAGUGAAGAAGGCCUUCGGGUUGUAAAGCUCUUUUACCAGGGACGAUAAUGACGGUACCUGGAGAAUAAGCCCCGGCAAACUUCGUGCCAGCAGCCGCGGUAAUACGAAGGGGGCUAGCGUUGUUCGGAAUUACUGGGCGUAAAGCGCACGUAGGCGGAUUGUUAAGUCAGAGGUGAAAUCCCGGAGCUCAACUUCGGAACUGCCUUUGAUACUGGCAAUCUAGAGUCCGGAAGAGGUUAGUGGAAUUCCCAGUGUAGAGGUGAAAUGCGUAGAUAUUGGGAAGAACACCGGUGGCGUAGGCGACUAGCUGGGCUGUAACUGACGCUGAGGAACGAAAGCCAGGGGAGCGAAUGGGAUUAGAUACCCGAGUAGUCCCUGAGCGGGCUGGCAAGGCGCAU